CUCUUAUCCAGAGAAGGCUGAGGGACUGGCCCGAUGACGCCCGGCAACCUGCUGCCCAUACCUAUGGGCUAAACGACUGGAAGGAGGAGCUUCUCCCAGGGAUCGUAGGGGGGAUCUCCAUCCUUUCAGGAGUGAAGGUAAGGUGCUAAUUCCUGCAGAACGUUAUGUUCUGAAAGAUAAGGG
rnacentral:ncRNA from 2 species